rnacentral:sRNA from 1 species
AACGAUAAAACUUGAUAGUACCGGGCAUGACAGAAUGGACGGCAAGAGGAAACUGCUAUGCAGGGCUCCUCAGCCGGCUACGGUCUCACGC